UCCGCCAUCAGCUGAGGAUUGAUGGUCACAUCAAUCCUCAGCUGAUGGCGGAUU
rnacentral:pre_miRNA from 1 species